UGGGGAAUAUUGCACAAUGGGCGAAAGCCUGAUGCAGCGACGCCGCGUGAACGAAGAAGUAUUUCGGUAUGUAAAGUUCUAUCAGCAGGGAAGAAGAAAUGACGGUACCUGACUAAGAAGCUCUGGCUAAAUACGUGCCAGCAGCCGCGGUAAUACGUAUGGAGCAAGCGUUAUCCGGAUUUACUGGGUGUAAAGGGAGCGUAGGCGGUCUUAUAAGUCUGAUGUGAAAGCCCGGGGCUCAACCCCGGGACUGCAUUGGAAACUGUAGGACUAGAGUGUCGGAGGGGUAAGUGGAAUUCCUAGUGUAGCGGUGAAAUGCGUAGAUAUUAGGAGGAACACCAGUGGCGAAGGCGGCUUACUGGACGAUUACUGACGCUGAGGCUCGAAAG
rnacentral:rRNA from 1 species